GCUAUUACUUCUCUUGAACUGACAUGCCCUCGUCUUGAGAAACUUUGUCUGGAUGGUUCUGAUCACCUUGAGAGAGCAUCAUUUUCCCUUGUUGCUCUUCAGUCACUGAAUUUGGGAAUUUGUCCCAAAUUAAAUAUACUUAAUAUUGAAGCACCAUAUAUGGUGUCACUUGAGUUGAAAGGAUGUGGUGUGUUGUCUGAAGCAACGAUCAACUGUCCUCUUCUAACAUCUCUGGAUGCUUCCUUCUGUAGCCAACUUAAGGAUGACUGCUUGUCAGCAACAACUGCGUCCUGCCCAUUGAUUGAGUCAUUAAUAUUGAUGUCUUGCCCAUC
rnacentral:misc_RNA from 1 species